AUUAAACUAAGGUUGAGUAGUUUGGGAAGAGUACGCAAAACUAUGUAUGGCGUAAAAAGGGCACCACAUACUAACAUGAAAACAUCAUCCCAAUCGUUAAGUACGGUGGAGGGAGCCUCAUAAUGUAGGGCUGCUUUGGAGCAUGGGGCAGGUUUAGCAAGAAGUUCAAGAUAUCAGGGUGGCUGUGCACCAGUUGAAGCUCAGUAGAAAUUGCGUAAUGCCGCAGGACAGGG